GACGAACCGAGCGAACGUUGUUCGGAAUCACUGGGCUUAAAGGGCGCGUAGGCGGGUGCUCAAGUCCGGGGUGAAAUCCUCCAGCUCAACUGGAGAACUGCCUCGGAUACUGGGUGCCUCGAGGGUGGUAGGGGUAUGCGGAACUAUCGGUGGAGCGGUGAAAUGCGUAGAUAUCUGGAGGAACACCGGUGGCGAAGGCGGCAUCCUGGACCAAUUCUGACGCUGAGGAGCGAAAGCCAGGGGAGCAAACGGG
rnacentral:rRNA from 1 species